CAAAAAAAUACCAACACAAACUUUCUUAAAAAGGGUUUGAACACCUGAUUCAUAAGGCUUUGAAAAGUAGCAGGGGCAUUGGUCAAGCCAAAGGGCAUAACUCUAAAUUCAUAAUGCCCUAGAUAUGCUCUAAAUACGCUUUUAUAGGUGUGCCCUUCCUUCAUUCUUAUUUGAUGAUAACCAGCUCUUAAGUCAAUUUUUGAAUAAGUGCAAGAGACAUUAAGCUCAUCUAUAAGUUCAUCUACCAAGGGAAUUGGAAACUUAUCCUUAACUGUCAUCUUGUUUAGCUCUCUGUAAUCAAUGCAAAAUCUCCAACUUCCAUCUUUUUUCUUUACCAAUAGUACAUGAGAAGAGAAUAAAGAGUGGCUAGGUUGUAUAGUACCAUUGUUAAGCAUUUCACUAACUAGCUUUUCUAUCUCAUUCUUUUGAAUGUAAUUGUACCUAUAUGGUAUAAUACUGAUUGGUGCUGCUUCAGGUUUAAGUAGAAUGUGAUGAUCAUGAGUCCUUCUUGGUGGCAGGUACUUUGGUUCUGCAAACACUCCUGAGAAUUCAGCUACAACUUCUUGAAUCUUGUAAGCCAAGAUUUUGGAUUUCCCUCUUCGAAGUAAGGGCAGUUGACCUUGGAAUUGGAGUUGCUCGAGUGAAAUCUCCCAGCGGGAUUCUCGUGGUUCUCCAUCAUUCUUCCCCUACUACCAGAUCCUUCUACUGUAUGAGCAGCUGUUGGAGUACUUCCCAAGAUUCCAUCCUUGCUUGCGAGGAAUUUAUCCAUCAUAAGAUCGAAUUUGUGAUUCAAUUCAUCCAGUUUAGAGUCAUUCGACUCCAGCUUCGUACUAGUUUCUGCCAUGUAAUUAUGCAGUUGACUUUCUAAUUUUUUUGUGCUUUCUUCUGUAAUUUUUGCUCUGGUUUCCGGUACUUUCAUGGUGCUAGGAAUUGCUCUAAUACAAACUUGUAAUAGACUAGGAUUUACUUCAAAGAAUAAUGAAAAUGAAGAAGACAACAAUGAGGAACACAAGCUUUUAUUAUUCAACUAUCAAUGGAAUUGAAUUACAAUAGUUCCACCAUAGCUACUGUACAAUUGAUACCUGUAAAAGAGAAGAAGAAAAAGUUGGUUAGGGAAUUGCGAGAGAAAGAGAAGAGAGAAGAGUAGGCAGUUAGGAAGUUGUAAUAGAACAAUACCGGUAAUUGCUUGAGUCCUCAGCUCCCUUGCGUGUAUUUAUUUUUAAGUACCAUUGGGCUUUAACUAAAGAAUUAACCUGAGCCCACUUGCUUAUCUGGCCCAAGCCUUACACUUAGGUGAUACAGAGAAGAGGUCACUUUCCUAAUUAGUGACCCAGGAUUCUCUAACGAAAGUGACCUCUUCUCUAUAUUACCUCAGUGUAAGGCUUGGGCCAGAUAAAUAAGUGGGCUCAGGUUAAUUCUUUAGUUAAAGCCCAAUUAGAAUUAGAAGCCCAAUGGUACUUAACAAUUAAUACAUCCAAGGGAGCUGAGGACUCAAGCAAUUACCGGUAUUAUUCUGUUACAACUUCCUAACUACCUACUCUUCUCUCUUCUCUUUCUCUCUCAACUCCCUAACCAACUUUUUCUUCUUCUUCUCUCUUACAGGUAUCAAUUGUAUAGUAGCUAUGGUGGAACUAUUGUAAUUCAAUUCCAUUGACAGUUGAAUAAUAAAAGCUUGUGUUCCUUAUUGUUGUCUUCUUCAUUUUCAUUAUUCUUUGAAGUAAAUCCUAGUCUAUUACAAUAGCAUAUACUGUGGGAGAAAACUUUUGCUGGCAAGGCAGGUUAUCAAACAAGACGAGUGUCUCCAUCUUAUGCCAAGUUUGAAGUUAAGGCAAUCUUUUGCUUGUA